rnacentral:rRNA from 1 species
CCUACGGGCGGCAGCAGUGGGGAAUAUUGGACAAUGGGGGCAACCCUGAUCCAGCCAUGCCGCGUGUGUGAAGAAGGCCCUCGGGUUGUAAAGCACUUUCAGUGAGGAAGAACGCCUGGUGGUUAAUACCCAUCAGGAAAGACAUCACUCACAGAAGAAGCACCGGCUAACUCCGUGCCAGCAGCCGCGGUAAUACGGAGGGUGCGAGCGUUAAUCGGAAUUACUGGGCGUAAAGCGCGCGUAGGUGGCUUGAUAAGCCGGUUGUUAAAGCCCCGGGCUCAACCUGGGAACGGCAUCCGGAACUGUCAAGCUAGAGUGCAGGAGAGGAAGGUAGAAUUCCCGGUGUAGCGGUGAAAUGCGUAGAGAUCGGGAGGAAUACCAGUGGCGAAGGCGGCCUUCUGGACUGACACUGACACUGAGGUGCGAAAGCGUGGGUAGCAAACAGGAUUAGAUACCCUAGUAGUC